GUGCAAGCCUCUAGUGUGCUUAGGUCUGGGGUGAUGAGUGCUUGUGAGAACAAGAUAAAAUGGUUUGAAGCCUUGUCUUGCUCCAUCCAGAGCAAGGUUAUAGAAAUUUCAGACCAUU
rnacentral:snoRNA from 1 species